GCCAGGGAGGUGUAGUGGUUUGAGCAUUGGACUACAGCUCUGGAGAUCAGGGUUUGAUUCCCUGCUAGGCCA
rnacentral:tRNA from 1 species